UACAGAGGCCUCGAGCGUUAGGCGGAAUCACUGGGCUUAAAGCGUGUGUAGGUGGAUGCCUAAGUGCCUUGUGAAAUCCCACGGCUUAACCGUGGAAUUGCUGGGCAUACUGGUUGUCUUGAGCCACUCAGGGGCUACCGGAACAAAUGGUGGAGCGGUGAAAUGCGUAGAUAUCAUUUGGAACGCCAAUGGUGAAAACAGGUAGCUGGGGGUGUGCUGACACUGAGACACGAAAGCCAGGGGAGCAAACGGG
rnacentral:rRNA from 1 species